rnacentral:rRNA from 1 species
AGAGUUUGAUCCUGGCUCAGGAUGAACGCUGGCGGCGUGCCUAAUACAUGCAAGUCGAGCGAAUGGAUUAAGAGCUUGCUCUUAUGAAGUUAGCGGCGGACGGGUGAGUAACACGUGGGUAACCUGCCCAUAAGACUGGGAUAACUCCGGGAAACCGGGGCUAAUACCGGAUAAUAUUUUGAACUGCAUGGUUCGAAAUUGAAAGGCGGCUUCGGCUGUCACUUAUGGAUGGACCCGCGUCGCAUUAGCUAGUCGGUGAGGUAACGGCUCACCAAGGCAACGAUGCGUAGCCGACCUGAGAGGGUGAUCGGCCACACUGGGACUGAGACACGGCCCAGACUCCUACGGGAGGCAGCAGUAGGGAAUCUUCCGCAAUGGACGAAAGUCUGACGGAGCAACGCCGCGUGAGUGAUGAAGGCUUUCGGGUCGUAAAACUCUGUUGUUAGGGAAGAACAAGUGCUAGUUGAAUAAGCUGGCACCUUGACGGUACCUAACCAGAAAGCCACGGCUAACUACGUGCCAGCAGCCGCGGUAAUACGUAGGUGGCAAGCGUUAUCCGGAAUUAUUUGGCGUAAAGCGCGCGCAGGUGGUUUCUUAAGUCUGAUGUGAAAGCCCACGGCUCAACCGUGGAGGGUCAUUGGAAACUGGGAGACUUGAGUGCUGAAGAGGAAAGUGGAAUU